rnacentral:rRNA from 1 species
ACGGGAAACCGGAGCUAAUACCGAUAAUAUAUUGAACCGCAUGGUUCAAUAGUGAAAGACGGUUUUGCUGUCACUUAUAGAUGGAUCCGCGCCGCAUUAGCUAGUUGGUAAGGUAACGGCUUACCAAGGCAAACGAUGCGUAGCCGACCUGAGAGGGUGAUCGGCCACACUGGAACUGAGACACGGUCCAGACUCCUACGGGAGGCAGCAGCU